UUUUUAUGGAAAACUAAAAAUGUGGGUGGUUGUGAUGGAAUGAAUUGUUGAAAUUUUCAUUUCUUAUCACCCCUCGUACUCUCUUCUUCUCUUUAUUGUAAACAUUAUUAAAGGUUCAUUAAAAUUAAAGAUUCUUUUGAAACUGAGCAU
ensembl:ncRNA F48A9.5 ncRNA